UACAGAGGGUGCGAGCGUUGUUCGGAAUUAUUGGGCGUAAAGGGCGCGUAGGCGGCGCCACAAGUCACCUGUGAAAACUCUGGGCUCAACCCAGAGCCUGCAGGCGAAACUGUGGUGCUGGAGUAUGGGAGAGGUGCGUGGAAUUCCCGGUGUAGCGGUGAAAUGCGUAGAUAUCGGGGAGGAACACCUGUGGCGAAAGCGGCGCACUGGACCACAACUGACGCUGAGGCGCGAAAGCUAGGGGGAGCAAACAGG
rnacentral:rRNA from 1 species